rnacentral:rRNA from 1 species
GACGUAGGGCGCGAGCGUUGUCCGGAUUUAUUGGGCGUAAAGAGCUCGUAGGCGGCUCGUUGCGUCGGCUGUGAAAACCCGCAGCUCAACUGUGGGCUUGCAGCCGAUACGGGCGGGCUGGAGUUCGGUAGGGGAGACUGGAAUUCCUGGUGUAGUGGUGAAAUGCGCAGAUAUCAGGAAGAACACCGGUGGCGAAGGCGCUCAUCUGGCCCAAUACUGACGCUGAGGCGCGAAAGCUAGGGGAGCAAACGGG